rnacentral:rRNA from 1 species
UACGUAGGGGGCAAGCGUUGUCCGGAUUUAUUGGGCGUAAAGAGCGUGUAGGCGGCCAUGUAGGUCCGUUGUGAAAACUCGAGGCUCAACCUCGAGACGCCGAUGGAAACCAUGUGGCUAGAGUCCGGAAGAGGAGAGUGGAAUUCCUGGUGUAGCGGUGAAAUGCGCAGAUAUCAGGAGGAACACCAGUGGCGAAGGCAGCUCUCUGGGACGGUACUGACGCUGAGACGCGAAAGCGUGGGGAGCGAACAGG